UACGGGGGGAGCAAGCGUUGUCCGGAAUUAUUGGGCGUAAAGAGCUCGUAGGCGGUCUGUCGCGUCUGGUGUGAAAACUCAAGGCUUAACCUUGGGCCUGCAUCGGGUACGGGCAGACUAGAGUGCGGUAGGGGAGACUGGAAUUCCUGGUGUAGCGGUGAAAUGCGCAGAUAUCAGGAGGAACACCGGUGGCGAAGGCGGGUCUCUGGGCCGUAACUGACGCUGAGGAGCGAAAGCAUGGGGAGCGAACAGG
rnacentral:rRNA from 1 species